AUACGGAGGGUGCAAGCGUUAAUCGGAAUUACUGGGCGUAAAGCGCACGCAGGCGGUCUGUCAAGUCGGAUGUGAAAUCCCCGGGCUCAACCUGGGAACUGCAUUCGAAACUGGCAGGCUAGAGUCUUGUAGAGGGGGGUAGAAUUCCAGGUGUAGCGGUGAAAUGCGUAGAGAUCUGGAGGAAUACCGGUGGCGAAGGCGGCCCCCUGGACAAAGACUGACGCUCAGGUGCGAAAGCGUGGGGAGCAAACAGGAUUAGAUCCCCUGGUAGUCCACGCCGUAAACGAUGUCGACUUGGAGGUUGUGCCCUUGAGGCGUGGCUUCCGGAGCUAACGCGUUAAGUCGACCGCCUGGGGAGUACGGCCGCAAGGUUAAAACUCAAAUGAAUUGACGGGG
rnacentral:rRNA from 1 species